UGGGGAAUUUUGGACAAUGGGCGAAAGCCUGAUCCAGCCAUACCGCGUGAGUGAAGAAGGCCUUCGGGUUGUAAAGCUCUUUCAGCCGGAAAGAAAUUGCUUCUAUUAAUACUAGGAGUAGAUGACGGUACCGGAAGAAGAAGCACCGGCUAACUACGUGCCAGCAGCCGCGGUAAUACGUAGGGUGCGAGCGUUAAUCGGAAUUACUGGGCGUAAAGCGUGCGCAGGCGGUUUUUUAAGUCAGAUGUGAAAUCCCCGGGCUCAACCUGGGAACUGCAUUUGAAACUGGAAGACUAGAGUAUAGCAGAGGGGGGUAGAAUUCCACGUGUAGCAGUGAAAUGCGUAGAUAUGUGGAGGAAUACCAAUGGCGAAGGCAGCCCCCUGGGUUAAUACUGACGCUCAUGCACGAAAGCGUGGGGAGCAAACAGG
rnacentral:rRNA from 1 species